rnacentral:lncRNA from 1 species
GUUACAGUCCCACCAGUGACUGUUCCUCCUGUGAAGCCACCAGUUGAACUCCCUCCGAUUGCAAAACCACCCAUUACAGUCCCACCAGUGACUGUUCCUCCUGUAAAGCCACCUGUUGAUCUCCCUCCAAUUGCUAAGCCACCCAUUACGGUUCCACCAGUGACAGUCCCUCCAGUGACUCCUGUGAAGCCACCAGUUGAUCUCCCUCCAGUGAACCUCGUUCCUCCUGUGAACGCCACCAGUUGACCUCCCUCCAAUUGCGAAACCACCCAUCACAGUCCCUCCGGUGACAGUCCCAGUCCCUCCAGUUACUGUCCCUCCAGUGACUGUUCCUCCCGUAAAGCCACCAGUUGACCUCCCUCCAAUUGCAAAACCACCCAUCACAGUCCCACCAGUGACUGUUCCUCCUGUGAAGCCACCAGUUGAC